CCGACGGUGAGGGGUGAAAGCUGGGGGAGCAAACCGGAUUAGAUACCCGGGUAGUCCCAGCCGUAAACGAUGUGCGUUAGGUGUAUCGGUGACCACGAGUCACCGAGGUGCCGAAGAGAAAUCGUGAAACGUACCGCCUGGGAAGUACGGUCGCAAGGCUGAAACUUAAAGGAAUUGGCGGGGGAGCACCACAACAGGUGGAGCCUGCGGUUUAAUCGGACUCAACGCCGGGAAACUCACCAGAUAAGACAGCUGAAUGAUAGUCGGGCUGAAGACUCUACUUGACUAGCUGAGAGGAGGUGCAUGGCCGUCGUCAGUUCGUACUGUGAAGCAUCCUGUUAAGUC
rnacentral:rRNA from 1 species